UACACAUCGCCCGUCACU
rnacentral:rRNA from 1 species